rnacentral:rRNA from 1 species
AUUGAACGCUGGCGGCAUGCUUUACACAUGCAAGUCGAACGGCAGCACGGGGGCGAACCCUCGGUGGCGAGUGGCGAACGGGUGAGUAACACAUCGGAACGUGCCCAGUUGUGGGGAUAACCUAUCGAAAGGUAGGCUAAUACCGCAUGAGCUCGGCAAGAGGAAAGCGGGGGACUCAGCGAUGGGCCUCGCGCGACUGGAGCGGCCGAUGUCCGAUUAGCAGUUGGUGGGGUAAAGGCUUACCAAGCGACGAUCGGUAGCUGUCUGAGAGGAUGAUCAGCCACACUGGGACUGAGACACGGCCCAGACUCCUACGGGAGGCAGCAGUGGGGAAUUUUGGACAAUGGGGCAACCCUGAUCCAGCCAUGCCGCGUGAGUGAAGAA